AACGUAGGUGGCGAGCGUUAUCCGGAUUUACUGGGCGUAAAGCGUGUGCAGGCGGCCCAUCAAGUGGUGUAUGAAAUCGCCCGGCUCAACCGGGCUACGUUAUGCCAGACUGAGGGGCUGGAGACGAGGAGAGGGACGUGGAAUUCCGGGUGUAGUGGUGAAAUGCGUAGAGAUCCGGAGGAACCCCAGAGGCGAAGGCGGCGUCCUGGCCUCGAUCUGACGCUCAGACACGACAGCAUGGGGAG
rnacentral:rRNA from 1 species